rnacentral:rRNA from 1 species
UACGUAGGCAGCAAGCGUUGUUCGGAGUUACUGGGCGUAAAGGGCGCGCAGGCGGCCGUGUAAGUCCGCUGUGAAAGACCGGGGCUCAACCCCGGGGUGUCAGCGGGGACUGCACGGCUGGAGUCCCGGAGAGGGAGGCGGAAUACCUGGUGUAGCGGUGGAAUGCGUAGAGAUCAGGUGGAACACCGAUGGCGAAGGCAGCCUCCUGGACGGGUACUGACGCUGAGGCGCGAAAGCGUGGGGAGCGAACGGG